rnacentral:rRNA from 1 species
CCCUUAGAUGUCCUGGGCCGCACGCGCGCUACACUGACAUGUUCAACAAGUUUCUCCUAGUUCGACAGGACUGGGAAAUCUUUGAACGCAUGUCGUGAUAGGGAUAGAUCAUUGCAAUUAUUGAUCUUGAACGAGGGAUUCCUAGUAAACGCGAGUCAUCAGCUCGCAUUGAUUACGUCCCUGCCCUUUGUACACACCGCCCGUCGCACCUACCGAUUGAAUGUUUCGGUGAAGAUUCCGGAUAGGACUGAUUUGAUUUAUUUCAUUUCUGACCUAAAAGCUAUCUAAACCUCAACAUUUAGAGGAAGGUGAAGUCGUAACA